GAGGCGGCGGAGAUGCUGCGUGCUGGGCCGCCUCGGAGACCCGAGUCCCAUCCCCUGGCUGAUUAUCAUUACACAGGCUCGGAUACUUGGACACCGGUGGAGGAGCAAUUGUUUAAAGAGGCUUUUUACCUCCAUAAGAAGAAUUUUCGCCUCAUACAGAAGCAGAUCCAGACUAAAAGCGUGUCUCAGUGU